CGAUGAAAUAACAAUAAUUAUAAAGUGUGCAAAUGAGACACAUUUUUAACUUCGUUUAGUUUAAACUGUUUCCAAACCUUUUUGUUUGUAUGAAAGGAGUUCAAUUUAAAAUAUUUAUUAAUGGAGAAUUAAGUUGGGAUGAGUGAGAAAAGGGCCAGGGUUUGUUUUAUAGCAUUUCAAUUUUUGCAUGUGAUUUAUAAGUAUGACUACGAGUACAAGAGUUGUCAUUUGCAAACCCAUCAUAAGUAUUGUCCUUAUAGACAAUACCAAAAUAUGUCAAGCUAGGAUGUGAAUGACAAUUUUUGUACAUGGUUGACAAGUAAAAUAAUAUGGUGUUAGCCAGAAUAACAUAAAGUAUGGUGCAUCAGGGCACAGUGCAGCUUAAUGGGUUAACAAGGCACAUUGCCAGAUUGUCUGGUUAACCCAAUGAGUGGCAGUAUGUCCCCUUGAACUAUUUUUUUUUUUUUUUAAUUUGCCCAAAUUACAUAGUUAUUUACAUUUAUUUCUUUUUAACCAAACAUACAUGACUUUUCUGAAACUGCCAAACUCCCAUAGAAUGUGCCAACAGCAAUUAUCAGUGGAUCAUUUAGUGGAACAAUAUCAACAUUACUGCUACAACCUCUUGACCUUUUGAAAACAAGAAUACAAAUUGAUAAAUAUAAUAGGUAAAUAAUUUAUAACAUACUUUGUCUGUCCAAACAAAGUCAACUCAGAUGCUGCAAAAUUAAUUUCUCAGUGCUCCAACAAGGAAUCGCACUCGUUUGGGCCUGGCUAUGCCCCUGCAAGCAUCUCAACAGCGUAUCAGUCACACAGAGUUUGUAUGAUAAUCCAGAGACCCAAGGUUUGAUUGACAAAACUUGUCUGUGACAAUGGUAAAGUUCAUGCAUGUCAAAAUUUUUCUUUUUUC
rnacentral:lncRNA from 1 species